rnacentral:lncRNA from 1 species
UUCAGACUGCUUUGACCAAAUACAGCAAAAAUAUUUCAGAAAUUCCUAUUAUAGAAGAAAGCCAUUUUGCUAAAAUUACUAAGAAAAUACAGAUUAAAAAAGGUGGUAUUUUAUAUCAAGAGGAAUUAAUUGCUGCCUACAUGGAACAAGUUAAGCAAGACAUUCAGAGACAGAUACAACUGGAGAUGAUAUUUCAAUGCGAGAUAAUAAUAUUGAAGACUCCCAAAGUAUCAAUAGUGUUAACUCUGAAGAAUUGGCUGAGAUUGUUAGAAAAGCAGAAGAAGAAGUUUUACAUCAAAGAUAAUGAGAUUCCCGACAAAAGAUGGUGGUGGGGUCUACUAGGAC